AGAUUGAACGCUGGCGGAAUGCUUUACACAUGCAAGUCGAACGGCAGCACGGGACUCAGGCAACUGAGCCCUGGUGGCGAGUGGCGAACGGGUGAGUAACAUAUCGGAACGUACCCAGUCGUGGGGGAUAACUCUCCGAAAGGAGAGCUAAUACCGCAUACGUCCUGAGGGAGAAAGCGGGGACCUAAGGGUAACUGAGGGCCUCGCGCGAUUGGAGCGGCCGAUAGUCGGAUUAGCUAGUUGGUGGGGUAAAGGCUCACCAAGGCGACGAUCCGGUAGCGGGUCUGAGAGGACGACCCGCCACACUGGAACUGAGACACGGUCCAGACUCCUACGGGAGGCAGCAGUGGGAAUUUUGGACAAGUGGGGGCCAACCUGAUCCAGCCAUUCCGCGUGAGUGAAGACGGUCCUUCGGUUAGUAAGUCUCGUU
rnacentral:rRNA from 1 species